rnacentral:rRNA from 1 species
UACGGAGGAUGCGAGCGUUAUCCGGAUUUAUUGGGUUUAAAGGGUGCGUAGGCGGAGUGUCAAGUCAGCGGUAAAAUUUCGGGGCUCAACCCCGUCGUGCCGUUGAAACUGACGCCCUUGAGUGAGUGAGAAGUAAGCGGAAUGCGUGGUGUAGCGGUGAAAUGCGUAGAUAUAUGGAGGAACACCAGUGGCGAAGGCGGCCUGCUGGACAAUAACUGACGCUGAGGCGCGAAAGCGUGGGGAGCAAACAGG